UACGUAGGGUGCGAGCGUUGUCCGGAAUUAUUGGGCGUAAAGAGCUCGUAGGCGGUGUGUCACGUCGGCCCGUGAAAAACCUGCAGCUUAACUGUGGGCGUGCGGUCGAUACGGGCAUCACUGGAGUUCGGCAGGGGAGACUGGAAUUCCUGGUGUAGCGGUGAAAUGCGCAGAUAUCAGGAGGAACACCGGUGGCGAAGGCGGGUCUCUGGGCCGAUACUGACGCUGAGGAGCGAAAGCCAGGGGAGCAAACGGG
rnacentral:rRNA from 1 species